UACGAGGGGGGCAAGCGUUGUUCGGAAUUAUUGGGCGUAAAGCGUGCGCAGGCGGUUUUGUAAGACUGUCGUGAAAUCCCCGGGCUUAACCUGGGAAUGGCGAUGGUGACUGCAAGGCUAGAGUUUGGCAGAGGGGGGUAGAAUUCCACGUGUAGCAGUGAAAUGCGUAGAUAUGUGGAGGAACACCGAUGGCGAAGGCAGCCCCCUGGGUCAAAACUGACGCUCAUGCACGAAAGCGUGGGGAGCAAACAGG
rnacentral:rRNA from 1 species